rnacentral:rRNA from 1 species
CAGACAACCAGGAUGUUGGCUUAGAAGCAGCCACUCAUUAAAAGAGUGCGUAAUAGCUCACUGGUCGAGUGACUCUGCGCCGAAAAUUUAACGGGGCUAAACUAUACACCGAAGCUUGGGAUACAUCUAAUGUAUGGUAGGAGAGCGUUCUGUAUGGGGAGAAGUCGUAGCGAAAGCGGCGGUGGACUAUACAGAAGUGAGAAUGCCGGAAUAAGUAGCGAGAAUUAAGUGAGAAUCUUAAUGGCCGAAAGUCUAAGGUUUUUGGAGGAAGGUUCGUCCGCUCCAAGUAAGUCGGGAGCUAAGGUCAGGCCGAAAGGCGUAGCCGAUGCACAUACGGUUGAUAUUCCGUAACCAUCUGUAAUUUAAGCAAAGGGACACUUCAAAAGGGUGUGACCCGGGCGUUGGUUGACCCGGGCGUAAGGGACCGAAAUUAGAGUAGGGAAGCACACUUAGCUGAAGGCGAGAAAAGCUUUGCGUAUAGAAGCAGAUGCCCGUACCGCAAACCGACACAGGUGGACAGGAAGAGAAUUCUAAGGCCAGCGGGAGAAGGGUAGUUAAGGAACUCGGCAAAUUGACUCCGUAACUUCGGAAUAAGGAGUGCUCGAAAGAGCCGCAGAGAAUAGGCCCAGGCGACUGUUUAGCAAAAACACAGGUCUCUGCCAAAUCGAAAGAUGAAGUAUAGGGGCUGACACCUGCCCGGUGCCGGAAGGUUAAGAGGAGGAGUGAGAGCUCCGAAUUGAAGCCCCGGUAAACGGCGGCCGUAACUAUAACGGUCCUAAGGUAGCGAAAUUCCUUGUCGGGUAAGUUCCGACCCGCACGAAUGGUGUAACGAUCUGGGCACUGUCUCAACUACCCACCCGGCGAAAUUGUAGUACCGGUGAAGAUGCCGGUUACCCGCGGCAAGACGGAAAGACCCCAUGGAGCUUUACUGUAGCCUGAUAUUGGGUUUCGGUAUUCUAUGUACAGGAUAGGCGGGAGACUGGGAACCGAUGGCGUCAGCUGUCGGGGAGUCACCCUUGGGAUACCGCUCUUAGAGUACUGGAAUUCUAACCUGCGGCCGUGAAUCCGGCCGGGGGACAUUGUCAGGUGGGCAGUUUGACUGGGGCGGUCGCCUCCAAAAAGGUAACGGAGGCGCUCAAAGGUUCGCUCAGCACGGACGGAAACCGUGCCUCUGAGUGCAAACGCAAAAGCGAGCCUAACUGCGAGGCUGACGGGCCGAGCAGUAACGAAAGUUGGAGUUAGUGAUCCGGCGGUAUGUGAGUGGAAAUGCCGUCGCUCAACGGAUAAAAGCUACCCUGGGGAUAACAGGCUGAUCUCCCCCAAGAGUCCACAUCGACGGGGAGGUUUGGCACCUCGAUGUCGGCUCAUCACAUCCUGGGGCUGUAUUCGGUCCCAAGGGUUCGGCUGUUCGCCGAUUAAAGUGGUACGCGAGCUGGGUUCAGAACGUCGCGAGACAGUUCGGUCCCUAUCUGUCGUGGGCGCAGGAUAUUUGAGGAGCUCUGUCCUUAGUACGAGAGGACCGGGAUGGACGUACCUCUGGUGCACCAGUUGUCAUGCCAAUGGCACGGCUGGGCAGCUAUGUACGGAACGGAUAAACGCUGAAAGCAUCUAAGCGUGAAGCCGACUCCAAGAUUAGAUAUCCCAUCGUAUAACGAGUAAGACCCCUUGAAGACUACGAGGUUGAUAGGCUGCGUGUGUAAGUGCCGUGAGGCAUUCAGCUUGGCAGUACUAAUAGGUCGAGGGCUUGACCAC